rnacentral:rRNA from 1 species
GACGAACGCUGGCGGCGUGCUUAACACAUGCAAGUCGAACGGAAAGGCCCUGCUUUUGUGGGGUGCUCGAGUGGCGAACGGGUGAGUAACACGUUAGUAACCUGCCCUUGACUUUGGGAUAACUUCAUGAAACUUGGGCCCAUACCGGAUAGGAGCUCCUGCUGCAUGGUGGGGGUUGGAAAGUUUCGGCGGUUGGGGAUGGACUCGCGGCUUAUCAGCUUGUUGGUGGGGUAGUGGCUUACCAAGGCUUUGACGGGUAGCCGGCCUGGGAGGGUGACCGGCCACAUUGGGACUAAGAUACGGCCCAGACUCCUACGGGAGGCAGCAGUGGGGAAGAUUGCACAAUGGGCGGAAGCCUGAUGCAGCAAAGCCGCGUGCGGGAUGACGGCCUUCGGGUUGUAAACCGCUUUCGCCUGUGACGAAGCGUGAGUGACGGUAAUGGGUAAAGAAGCACCGGCUAACUACGUG